GUAUUCACAAGCAAACAUCACUAUUCAGUUAUAUUCGAUAUUCUUUAACGGCCAGUUGUGUAAAUGAGAUAAUCUCAAGAGUUAGAAACAGAAGAUUGACAAAUAAACAUGGCCAAUGAGCAAACAGAAGAGAGCGAAUGUGCUCUCAGCAACGAUAAAUUAAAAGAGCAGGGUCAUCCAAAUGGAAAUACAGCAAAUAAAGAGAACGCUUCUGGCAUUGACGACCAGUGUGCAACUUCUGACAUCGUAGUUAAUAUGAUUGCAGCGGAACCAAACCCGAAGAGAAGUAUUGCUAAGAUGUUUGAAACAAGCUUUGGUUUGAUUGGAGCACAUGGAAGCGUCAGGAAGGAAUUGUUUAUUAACGCUGUCAAGCAAAUCGAG